rnacentral:sRNA from 1 species
UGAUGUUCCCCUCUGAAGGUUUUAACCUUCUUUUGGCCGGGCCGCAUUCGAGCCCGGCCAUUUUUAGUUCCGGG